UUAACUACACUUUGCUUUACUAUUCUUUAUGUUACAUUACUUUGUUUCAUCUCUUAUUUCUUUUUUCUUUUUUCUUUCCUAUUCUGCUUAAAGGAAAGAUAUGCAGUUUCUUUAAUGGAUACUUAUACUUCGUGAAAUGUCUAGAAUAGCCAAUUUUGUGCAGACAACUCCAUUUCCUGUGUUCAUGUGCUUAUAUUAACUUGUCCAAUUUUGCGUAUGAUCUUGAGGAGAUAUUUUUGUUAUUAUUGGUCAAAAUGAACAAUAUAUUCACUCCUUCAAUCAGACCCCACAUGUUUAAUUAUGACCUGAUGUUUAGCUUUUGUAACUAGCUCCUAUGUUUUUUUUUUUGAUGAUUUGGGUUGAAACGAACAAAUGGAUACUUGUUGGUCGUGGAGAAACUGAGGCCGAGGAUUAAGAGCUAUUUAUUUUUUCAUUUGUAUUUUUGGUGCAGAGAAAGCAUUAUUACUAUAUAGUGGUAGUUGGAUAGAUAUUCAGAAAGCUCAAUGCUGAACUAAUAUAAUAUUAGUCACCAUCAACAACAUACCUAGUAUAAUCCCACAAAUGGGGUCUUGGGAGGGUGAGGUGUACGCCGACCUUCCCCCUACCUUUGUGGGGUAGAGAGGCUGUUUCCAGUAGGCAAUAUAUUUGUCACCAUUAUGGUGCAAAUUAAUAAAUAUCUUUUGAUUCAUAUCUCAGGAGAAGUCAAAGGUAGUAUUUGGAUGGGUGAGGGUAGGGAUUCCAUUUUGGGCCUGUAGUACGCCAACUAGAUCAAGAUAGAGGAGUUCCUUAAUCAGCAGCAGUAUUAACAAAUAAAGAACUAAGAAGAAGCAGGAUGUACAUGUAAGCAGGUUAUG